rnacentral:rRNA from 1 species
CCUACGGGCGGCAGCAGUGGGGAAUAUUGGGCAAUGGGCGCAAGCCUGACCCAGCAACGCCGCGUGAAGGAAGAAGGCUUUCGGGUUGUAAACUUCUUUUCUCAGGGACGAAGCAAGUGACGGUACCUGAGGAAUAAGCCACGACUAACUACGUGCCAGCAGCCGCGGUAAUACGUAGGUGGCAAGCGUUAUCAGGAUAUACUGGGGGUAAAGGGCGUGUAGGCGGGACUGCAAGUCAGAUGUGAAAACAACGGGCUCAACCUGUGGCCUGCAUUUGAAACUGUAGUACUUGAGUACUGGAGAGGCAGACGGAAUUCCUAGUGUAGCGGUGAAAUGCGUAGAUAUUAGGAGGAACACCAGUGGCGAAGGCGGGCUGCUGGACAGCAACUGACGCUGAGGCGCGAAAGCGUGGGGAGCAAACAGGAUUAGAUACCCCUGUAGUC